UACGAGGGGGGCAAAUGUUGUUCGGAAUCACUGGGCGUAAAGGGAGCGUAGGCGGGUUCUUAAGUUAGGGGGUUAAUCCCGGGGCCCAACCCCGGACCGGCACUUAAAACUGGGAAUCUUGAAUAGUGGAGAGGUCAGUGGAAUUGGGGGUGUAGCGGUGGAAUGCGUAGAGAUCCCCAAGAACACCAGUUGCGAAGGCGGCUGACUGGACACAUAUUGACGCUGAGGCUCGAAAGCAUGGGGAGCAAACAGG
rnacentral:rRNA from 1 species